AACGAACGCUGACGGCGUGCUUAAGACAUGCAAGUCGUGCGAGAAAGUCACCUUCGGGUGGCGAGUAAAGCGGCGCACGGGUGAGUAACGCGUGGAUAAUCCACCCAAGGGUCUGGAAUAACAUCGGGAAACUGGUGCUAAUGCCGGAUAAGACCACGAUGACUUCGGUCGAUGCGGAAAAAGAUGGCCUCUUCUUGAAAGCUAUCGCCCUUUGAUGAGUCCGCGUCCCAUUAGCUUGUUGGUGGGGUAACGGCCUACCAAGGCUACGAUGGGUAGCUGGUCUGAGAGGAUGAUCAGCCACACUGGAACUGAGACACGGUCCAGACUCCUACGGGAGGUAGCAGUGGGGAAUAUUGGACAAUGGGCGAAAGCCUGAUCCAGCCAUGCCGCGUGUGUGAAGAAGGCUUUCGGGUUGUAAACUCCUUUUGUAGGGGAAGAUAAUGACGGUACCCUAUGAAUAAGCCACGGCUAACUCUGUG
rnacentral:rRNA from 1 species